rnacentral:rRNA from 1 species
AUUGAACGCUGGCGGCAUGCCUAACACAUGCAAGUCGAACGGCAGCAUAUAUUAGUUUACUAAUAUGGUGGCGAGUGGCGAACGGGUGAGUAACGCGUAGGAAUAUACCUUAAAGAGGGGGACAACUUGGGGAAACUCAAGCUAAUACCGCAUACGCUCUUAGGAGGAAAGCUGGGGACCUUCGGGCCUGGCGCUUUAAGAAUAGCCUGCGUACGAUUAGCUAGUUGGUGGGGUAAAGGCCUACCAAGGCGACGAUCGUUAGCUGGUCUGAGAGGAUGGUCAGCCACACUGGGACUGAGACACGGCCCAGACUCCUACGGGAGGCAGCAGUGGGGAAUAUUGGACAAUGGGGGAAACCCUGAUCCAGCAAUGCCGCGUGUGUGAAGAAGGCCUGAGGGUUGUAAAGCACUUUCAGUGGGGAGGAGGAUUGAUGGUUAAGAGCUAAUUAAUUGGACGUUACCUACAGAAGAAGCAACCGGCUAAACUUCCCGUGCCAGCAGCCGCGGUAAU